UAAGCGGAAUAUAAACAUCCGAAUCACCAUCCAGCUGCAUCAUCAUCAACAAUCACAACUUAUCGGACCACCCGGAGACCAAGAAUAAACAAUCAACCGUUCACAAGAAUCGAUAUCAGCAUCGCGCUGAUGCCAUGAAUAAACAUUCCCACAUUCAAGAUGUUGUAAACACAAAUCAUUGAUAUAUAUAAGCAGGGACAAUGAAUGUAAGGUUAGAGUUAAAUUUGAAUAGUGAAUAGAUGCACAUCGUGUGCUCGAAAAGAAGAAAUUGUUUUUUUUAAGUAAAGUUUAGUGUUUAAGAUUAACUGGCGCCCGAAUAGGGACCUUGCCAAGUGAAAGUAGUGCCAAGGAAGUGAGACAAGUGAAGUGAUAGGGUGAACGAUAGAGUUACCACCCACACUAUCCGAAAAAAAUAUCCGAACGCACGAAGCCUCUCUGGACCGCAGGACCUCUGCAGCCGUGUGGAAGAGCCCCUCAGUAGCCACAACAGUUAGGAGCUCGCUUGUGGACCGAACAGGAAUUUGCCGCCACACUGGGAAGGAAGGAAGACACUUCAAGGAUCCCGACCAACCAGUCUCGCUGAACCCGCCAGCGGUUGGAUAAAUCAAAAGGUGAUAAUAGGACAUCGAGACAAAAGUACUGGACACGCGCACCGAAGCUUUUCGAGACGUCACUGAAAGAGGAUUGACAUCCGAAAGUACGUUGUUCCGCAGUCUUGUGGUGUUCCCACAAGAUGUUCAGGAUUUACAUACGUAAACAAAAGGCCAACAUAACAGUCCACUUCGACAAAAACGCUGAGACCAUCCUAAUAAAUGAGCCACCAAAAACAACGGAAAUUAAACCUGACACCAACAACACAGAGGAAUUAUCAGACGAAAGAAAAAAACAACUUCAAGCAUUCUUUGAUGCACCAACACCA